GUCACUAAGACGUCUGUUAUUCUACAGGAACUAACAUGGUGUCAAGUUUACCAUAAUAGCACCAUUUACUUGAAAUGGUUUACAGAUUUAAUUACGUGCCUGGAUUAUGGAGACAGAAGAAGGCAUAUUUUAUCACCAACACCGAAACGAAGUCUGGUACAUAUUCUCUCGAUCAUUUUUAUCGAUCUGCGAGACAUACCCAUCAUCUGACUACCAGUAUUGGUCUGUGUAUGUGUGACAAACAGACACAAAGACAGACCCACACACACGAGCGCCUGAUGGUGGAAGCAUCGCUGUUGCGGGUCGCGUAUUUAGCGUCAAUGAAUCUGCCAUAACGUUUCAUUUACAAGUUGUGGAAAUGAUUCAUUCAUCACGGAUUCAUCAGUUCUUUUUCUUUUUUAACUAGAUGUACGUAACAGAACAGUUGCUAGUCGCUUAAUUAUUCAUAUGAUUCCAGUACUUAAUUUCAGAUCAAAAUAAUAGAGAGAAAAAAAAGAAGAAUCGCAUGCAGUAUUAGAAAUAGAGAGAAGGAAUUUUUAAGGAACCUUAUCUAUCUUAUUUUUCUCAACACUGCAUAGUUCUACAGAAUCUAUUCAUUCUUCCUACAACACACACACACAUUAUAUAUAUAUAUACAGAGAGAAAGAGAGAGAUGUGUGUCGUUAUCCAGCUGGAGGAGAUGUUUUCCUGGGGUUUUAAACGUCAGUAGCAUUA
rnacentral:lncRNA from 1 species